rnacentral:lncRNA from 7 species
GAAAAUGUGUGAGCAUCGAAGCGUAGGCCAGGUGCUACAUUUUGAACGUCGGGGUCUGCUGCUGACCUUAAGUUACUGGGAGCUCUGAAACCGUUCCAGUUGCAUUGGUGCCUUGACUCAUCACUGUUUAGACACAGAGGUGACUGAAUUCCAGAAGAGCAAAGGAUAUGAGAGCAAAAUUCCUCCCGUAUUGAGAAGGAUUUUCAAGGGAGAGUGAAGAAAUACUCCUUUUGAAUGGUAUAUCGUUUAUUUUCUACAGCACAGAAUUGAUGCAUUUAAACAAUUCUGACCAAUGCCUUAGGAAGAAUAGAUAAGACCGUAGGCUUCUUUAGUUUAAUCAGUUUUUUGUCCAAAGUUGGAAUGUAUUUCAAAUUGAGAUUUGAACUGCCUUAGUGAGCAGGUCACGAGGAGCUGGGAGAGGCACGAUGCGUAUUUGCUGAAUAACAGAAGGAGGAUUUUCCUGUCUGAGCUUUUAAGAGACAUACAAAAUAUGAAAUGUAAUGGGUAUUUAAAUCUGUGCAGUUGUUCAAAACUGCAGAAGUCUUUUUGUGGUCUUCUGUAUCUCUUUUUUCCUGAAAAAGUGCUGGUUUUAAAACCCAUUUCAGUGUAAGAGGUGUGAAAGAUGAAGCACAAAUGCUGUUAUCAUAAAGAUAUUUCUUCUGUUCUGUAGGUGCAUGAACUGUUCAGCUUAUGCCUCAAUAAAUUCUGUGAUUGUUUCUUC